rnacentral:rRNA from 1 species
AGGAAUAUUGCGCAAUGGACGAAAGUCUGACGGAGCAACGCCGCGUGAGUGAUGAAGGCUUUCGGGUCGUAAAACUCUGUUGUUAGGGAAGAACAAGUACAAGAGUAACUGCUUGUACCUUGACGGUACCUAACCAGAAAGCCACGGCUAACUACGUG